rnacentral:rRNA from 1 species
UACGAAGGGGGCGAGCGUUGUUCGGAUUUACUGGGCGUAAAGGGCGCGUAGGCGGCUAUUCAAGUCAGGCGUGAAAGCCCCGGGCUCAACCUGGGAGGUGCGCUUGGGACUGGGUGGCUGGAGUUCGGGAGAGGAGAGUGGAAUUCCCAGUGUAGAGGUGAAAUUCGUAGAUAUUCGCAAGAACACCAGUGGCGAAGGCGGCUCACUGGCCCGGUACUGACGCUGAGGUGCGAAAGCGUGGGGAGCAAACAGG